CCUGCAUCUCAUCUUGUCAUCAGCCUGGAGCCUUCAUCAGCCCACCAUCACCUUCAGUCAUCGUCAGUUCGUCUGCUUCACGUGGUCACCACCAUCCACCACUCCACGCCAACCGGUCCGGACUCCAGGUCGCCACCAUCACUGCACCACGCAAACCCACCCGGACGCAAGAGAACCACCAUCCGCCACACCACAUUAAAACUCUUCUAAAUCCAUCUCUGUCUCCCGCCUGCUCUUGGGUCCAGAACUCUUACAAACCUAA
rnacentral:lncRNA from 1 species